CCCUUAGAUGUUCUGGGCUGCACGCGUGCUACACUGAUAUUGCCAAUAUGUCAUUCUUAUCCGAAAUGGAUUGGGUAAUCAAGUAAUGAAAUUUCAUGCUUGGAAUCGGUAAUUGCAAUUUUAUCGUGAACGAGGAAUUCCUAGUAAGCACUAGUCAUCAGCUAAUGUUGAUUAUGUCCCUGCCCUUUGUACACACCGCCCGUCGCUACUACUGAUUGGGUGUUCAAGUGAGAUGCUUAGACCCUUGUUGCAUGGUUCAUUAUUGUGCUUCGAAAGGAAAAAGUUUCAAGCUUGAGUGUCUAGAGGAAGUAAAAGUCGUAACA
rnacentral:rRNA from 1 species